CGUUGAAACACCGGUUCUAGUACGAUCACCGAAGUAAAGCAACGCCGAGCCUGGCCAGUACCGAGAUGAGUGACCGUUUGGAAAUACCAG